rnacentral:rRNA from 1 species
AUUGAACGCUGGCGGCAGGCCUAACACAUGCAAGUCGAGCGAGCGGCGGACGGGUGAGUAAUGUCUGGGAAACUUCCUGAUGGAGGGGGAUAACUACUGGAAACGGUAGCUUAUACCGCAUACCAUCAGAUGUGCCCAGAUGGGAUUAGCUAGUAGGUGGGGUAACGGCUCACCUAGGCGACGAUCCCUAGCUGGUCUGAGAGGAUGACCAGCGACACUGGAACUAAGACACGGUCCAGACUCCUAAGGGAGGGAGCAGUGGGGAAUAGUGCACAAUGGGCGCAAGCCUGAUGCAGACAUGCCGCGUGUGUGAAGAAGGCCGUCGGGUUGUAAAGCACUUUCAGCGGGGAGGCGUUACCCGCAGAAGAAGCACCGGCUAACUCCGUGCCAGCAGCCGCGGUAAUAC